rnacentral:rRNA from 1 species
CACCUGGGGAGUACGCCGCAAGGUUGAAACUCAAAGGAAUUGACGGGGGCCCGCACAAGCAGUGGAUUAUGUGUUAUUCGAAGCACGCGAAGAACCUUACCAGGGCUUGACAUCCAACUAACGAAGCAGAGAUGCAUUAGGUGCCCUUCGGGGAAAGUUGAGACAGGUGGUGCAUGGUUGUCGUCAGCUCGUGUCGUGAGAUGUUGGGUUAAGUCCCGCAACGAGCGCAACCCCUAUUGUUAGUUGCUACGCAAGAGCACUCUAGCGAGACUGCCGUUGACAAAACGGAGGAAGGUGGGGACGACGUCAAAUCAUCAUGCCCCUUAUGUCCUGGGCUACACACGUAAUACAAUGGCGAUCAACAAAGGGAAGCAAAGCCGCGAGGCAGAGCAAAUCCCCAAAAGUCGUCUCAGUUCGGAUUGCAGGCUGCAACUCGCCUGUAUGAAGUCGGAAUUGCUAGUAAUCGUGGAUCAGCAUGCCACGGUGAAUACGUUCCCGGGCCUUGUACACACCGCCCGUCACACCAUGAGAGCCGGGAACACCCGAAGUCCGUAGUCUAACCGCAAGGGGGACGCGGCCGAAGGUGGGUUUGGUAAUUGGGGUG